CCAUUUUUAUCGUUGCAAAUGCAAAAGCAAUGAAUGGGGUUUUGGGUUUGUCUCUUGAGAUUGUGAUCGGUUCGGUCGGAGGAAGGAGGAGGAUGGGCGCGGCCGGUGGUCACAAGGUGUGGACGAUGAAGGCGCAGCAGGGGAUGCCCCGAGAAGAUGAAGCCAGGAGGAUGUUCCAGAAAAUCGCCAGACAGGUCCAUCCGAUCAUGCGUAAACACAAAUGGCGGAUUGAGCUCCUCACCGAGAUAGAUAUAGACAUAGAUAUACAUAUACAUAUACAUAUGUAUAUAUAUGUUCAACCAAGCAUAGUCUUGAUAAUCAUCGGAGUAGAAGUAUAUUAUUCAGCUGAAAAGUUUCUCAUUUGAUACUGUGAAGUUGAUCUCAGUCUGUAGCAUAGCAUGUCCAUGAAUGAUGAUGGUAAUUAGAGUGAGUGGAUUUUUUUUUUUGGGUCGAAUCGGCUUAAGAUUUUCAUCCAUAAAAAUUGCGGCUUCAAUGCCAUUUUUGCGUUGUACAUAAGCCUUUCUUGGGAUGGAUGGUGUUCUGUUCUCCGAGUGCGGUCUGGCGGACGGUUGGUGGCUUCUUGGGAGGAACUGGAAUCGUAGAGUGCAUGUGGAGCUGAUUCUCCAAAGGCCCAGUCGUGAGCACGAGUUCCUUCCUUACCGUGGGCGCUCGACACGAUGUUCAUGAGCUGUGCCAUAACAUCCGCUGUCCUCAUGAUGCCACAUUUUACCAGCUCUGGGAUCAACUCAGAAAGGAAUGCAAUAAGAUGAUCCAUCGACGAAUAUCGGACUCUAACCAGUGGAGGCACCCAGGUGUUCUCUCUCGUCAGCCUCCUCCUGCUGGAAAGAGGACAGUCUCGGGUCCUCUACCGCCCACUGGACCCACACGCCUCGGUGGUGAGAAUGACAUCAUGAGCGCACUCAGUCCUGCACAAGCUGCUGCAAUGGCUGCAGAGAGGAGAUUGUUGGAUGAUAUCUGGUGUGGUUCCAGCUCCUGCCAAAAGCCCAAGGUGACGACUGAAAGCCUGGGUGGUCCAAGGGAUAUUCACCCCCUAGCAGCCAAAUUCGAGUUCUGGUCCUGUAAAUUUUGGACUAUGGACAACGGUGUGGAUUUAGAUAAAUGCUCGGCGUGUCAGCAAUGGAGAUAUUCAACUGGAGAUCCGGGGUUGCUGUUCCCACUCCAAUGGAGGUUCGAAAAUUAUAACUGAGUACCUGAGAGAUGUUCCGAUAUCUCAUUAGUUUUAUAGCACAUCAUGAAAAUCGCACUGCUAAUUGUGAUCUCUUAUUCAUCCAUAGCCGGUCUUAACGGGAAGGAACCAAUAUGUGGUUGGACUUAAAACUCUUUGGUUGGCAAAGGUUAGAUCGGUUGAAUCCGUCCUUUUUCUUCCAUUCUUAGCAAGUUCAUCUCCUCAGUUUUCCUCUCUAGUAAACUGAGUUUGCCUUUCUCUAGUAAA